ACACACGUUAUUAAGAUGUCAUGGAGUUCGAAUUUGAGACUAUUAGUUUGCAAAUUCAUACCUCUAAUCAAAUUUAUACUCAAAUGAUUAAAUAAGAGUACGAAAUAUACAACGGGGAACAAAUCCUGCCCACCAAAUAUCUUUUCAUAAUACUAUCAACAAUCACGGAUCAUUAACUAAUCAAACAUGAAGAUGUGGUUGCUAACCGUCUUCUGAUAUAUCUAGUUAUGGUUUUCAAGUGCAGAUAGAUUUUAUACAUUGUCGCCUCAGUUAUCUAGUGGCGCUGAC
rnacentral:lncRNA from 1 species